GAUGAACGCUGGCGGCGUGCCUAAUACAUGCAAGUCGAGCGAACGGACGAGAAGCUUGCUUCUCUGAUGUUAGCGGCGGACGGGUGAGUAACACGUGGAUAACCUACCUAUAAGACUGGGAUAACUUCGGGAAACCGGAGCUAAUACCGGAUAAUAUUUUGAACCGCAUGGUUCAAAAGUGAAUGACGGUCUUGCUGUCACUUAUAGAUGGAUCCGCGCUGCAUUAGCUAGUUGGUAAGGUAACGGCUUACCAAGGCAACGAUGCAUAGCCGACCUGAGAGGGUGAUCGGCCACACUGGAACUGAGACACGGUCCAGACUCCUACGGGAGGCAGCAGUAGGGAAUCUUCCGCAAUGGGCGAAAGCCUGACGGAGCAACGCCGCGUGAGUGAUGAAGGUCUUCGGAUCGUAAAACUCUGUUAUUAGGGAAGAACAUAUGUGUAAGUAACUGUGCACAUCUUGACGGUACCUAAUCAGAAAGCCACGGCUAACUACGUG
rnacentral:rRNA from 1 species